CGAUAACAUCAACAGUGCUGCCAACUUUUGCAAACAUUUAAAAAGUGCGCCUAUGCAAUUUGAAGGCUCGCUUUUUAUUUUAAGUUGACACUGCCCUAUGUGUCUCUUUCUGAACCAGGGCACAUUGUAAUUCAGUCUCAAUUGUCGCACAGGCUUGUCAACUAAUAUUCCUUUGAGGUAUUCAGUUAUUAUAUUGCUUUCUUAUAUUAGCAAUUUGCAAUGCCACGCGGUAAGUUCUUGAACCACAAAGGUCGUAGCCGCCAGUUUACACCAAUCGAAGAGCUGCUGCGAGAACAAGAGCUGGAAGUGAAUCUCGAACUAAAGAGCGAAGGCAAUGGGAAUCGAGUGCAGCGUCAGUCAGAUAAUGACAACAAUGGCAAUGUGUUCAAUCAAUGUAAUAACACAAAUGCCGAUAUACAAAGGAUCAAGAAGGUGGGCGGACCUGUCGAAGGACUCAUUGUGAUCUCAAAUCCAAAUCGCCCACAUAAAUCCAAAUCCGUCAACGAUUUGCUGCUGGUCGAGGACUGCGUUGACAAGCGUUGCAUUGAAAAGGGACGUGGAACUGACAUUCAGAAAACUGUGAGCGAGGUCAGGGCGGAUCUAGCUCGGUUGGCGCUGGUGCGCAAGAAUCGAGAGGCAGCUGCUGAGAUCCGUUUAGCUGCGAAGCGGGAGAACAAUCCGAAGUCAUUGGUGGCUCCCGUUAUUACAGUUAGCAAAUCUUUGAAAUCAAACAACAAAUCAACUCCAUCGAGUCCAUCGAUCUCAUCGAAAGGGGAUGACACUGUGACGAAGAAGAAGAAGAAUCGAAAAGCUGUACUCGGGGCCAAUCAGUUUCUGAAGUCGGACGACGAUAGCUACUACAACAAUAGUAGCAAUGAAAACAUUCGAAAAAUUAUGAAGGUGCGCAACGGGAAUAAACGAAAUGUUCGCAUGCAUAUUUAAACACGAAAAUCAUAGCAAGCAUGUCAGAAAAACUGAAUUAAUAAAAAACUAGUCAUUUCGAUAUAAUUUCUAGUUUGUUUUGAUUUGUAAAUUUUGAGUAAUACCCACAAAUAAGUUUAAAAAGGAAACUCUUUUGCUCUCUCGCCAUUCAAAUUUAUUAAUUGUAAAGUGUGGCAACAUUUAAGUUGCAGCAGCAGCCGGCAAAAAAAAAAAAUUCCAAAAAACAACCAACGGCUAAGGGCUUUUACAACAUUAAAAAUAUUUGA